rnacentral:sRNA from 1 species
GCUUUUGUCCUGCGCGCGCAGAUUAACGCAAACCCGGAAGCGGAUCGGGUGGAGUGUAGGUCAUAUCGCCGCGGAGGUGAGGAGCGCCUCUGCCCAGCAGCCGCCCCAUCUGGGAAGUGAGGAGUGCCUCUGCCCGGCCGCCCCAUCUGGUAGGUGAGGAGCGCCUCUGCCCAGCAGCCGCCCCGUCUG